CCUUGCUGCAAGACACCUCAGAAAUACAGAGAAGGACAAAUAGUUACUGACUCACGGACACCAGAGGAUUUUCUGAAAAACUACUGGAAUAAGAGACAAAAGUGCACUGCCAUUAUGAACAAGGAGAAGUGGAUAAUGAGCUACAGCACACAUUUGGAAGAAAUUUGGAAAACUCUGCUGUAAGUGGUACAGAAAGAAAAAGAAGAUACAGAAUGCUG
rnacentral:lncRNA from 1 species